AAUUGCCUUACGGCUCAGUAACACGUAGUCAACAUGCCCAGGGGACGUGGAUAACCUCGGGAAACUGAGGAUAAACCGCGAUAGGUCAUCACUUCUGGAAUGGGUAAUGACUUAAAUCUAUAUGGCCCCUGGAUUGGACUGCGGCCGAUCAGGCUGUUGGUGAGGUAAUGGCCCACCAAACCUGUAACCGGUACGGGCUCUGAGAGGAGGAGCCCGGAGAUGGGCACUGAGACAAGGGCCCAGGCCCUAUGGGGCGCAGCAGGCGCGAAACCUCUGCAAUAGGCGAAAGCUUGACAGGGUUACUCUGAGUGAUUUCCGUUAAGGAGAUCUUUUGGCACCUCUAAAAAUGGUGUAGAAUAAGGGGUGGGCAAGUCUGGUGUCAGCCGCCGCGGUAAUACCAGCACCCCGAGUGGUCGGGACGUUUAUUGGGCCUAAAGCAUCCGUAGCCGGUUCUACAAGUCUUCCGUUAAAUCCACCCGCUUAACGGAUGGGCUGCGGGGGAUACUGCAGAGCUAGGAGGCGGGAGAGGCAAACGGUACUCAGUGGGUAGGGGUAAAAUCCAUUGAUCUACUGAAGACCACCAGUGGCGAAGGCGGUUUGCCAGAACGCGCUCGACGGUGAGGGAUGAAAGCUGGGGGAGCAAACCGGAUUAGAUACCCGGGUAGUCCCAGCUGUAAACGAUGCAGACUCGGUGAUGAAUAGGCUUCGUGCCUAUUCAGUGCCGCAGGGAAGCCGUUAAGUCUGCCGCCUGGGGAGUACGGUCGCAAGACUGAAACUUAAAGGAAUUGGCGGGGGAGCAC
rnacentral:rRNA from 1 species